CAUGCCUAUCACAUGCAAGUCGAACGGUAAGGCUUCCUUCGGGAAGUACACGAGUGGCGAACGGGUGAGUAACACGUGGGUAACCUACCCUUGACUGGGGGAUAACCGAGGGAAACUUCGGCUAAUACCGCAUAACGUGCAUUGCCUCAAGGUGGUGUACCAAAGCUCCGGCGGUUAAGGAUGGGCCCGCGGCAGAUUAGCUUGUUGGUGAGGUAACGGCUUACCAAGGCGACGAUCUGUAGCUGGUCUGAGAGGACGAUCAGCCACACUGGAACUGAGACACGGUCCAGACUCCUACGGGAGGCAGCAGUGGGGAAUAUUGGACAAUGGGCGCAAGCCUGAUCCAGCCAUGCCGCGUGAGUGAUGAAGGCCUUAGGGUUGUAAAGCUCUUUCAGUGGGGACGAUAAUGACGGUACCCGCAGAAGAAGCCCCGGCUAACUUCGUGCCAGCAGCCGCGGUAA
rnacentral:rRNA from 1 species